AAACAUCGCCUCUUGAGUUAUAUAAGAGGUCCAGCCUGCCCAGUGACUUUUGUUUAACGGCCGCGGUAUCCUAACCGUGCGAAGGUAGCGUAAUCACUUGUUCUUUAAAUAAGGACUAGUAUGAAAGGCAUCACGAGGGCCAAGCUGUCUCCUUUUUCUAAUCCGUGAAACUAAUCUUCCCGUGAAGAAGCGGGAAUGUUUUUAUAAGACGAGAAGACCCUAUGGAGCUUUAAAUGAACACCACCUACAUUUUAUUUUUCAAUUCCAGAAAAUCAACAAAUACAAUGACCCCCUGGCUGUAAAUUUUAGGUUGGGGCGACCGCGGAGAAAAACCUAUCCUCCUCAUUGUUAAAGAAUUUAUCCUAAACAAAAAGCAACAACUUUAUGUAUCAAUAAAAUUGACAUCUAUUGACCCAUUAUUUGAUCAACGAACCAAGUUACCCUAGGGAUAACAGCGCCAUCCACUUUAAGAGCUCAUAUCGACAAGUGGGCUUACGACCUCGAUGUUGGAUCAGGGUAUCCAAGUGGUGCAGCCGCUACUUAAGGUU
rnacentral:rRNA from 1 species